ACGAACGCUGGCGGCGUGCCUAAUACAUGCAAGUAGAACGCUGAAGAGAGGAGCUUGCUCUUCUUGGAUGAGUUGCGAACGGGUGAGUAACGCGUAGGUAACCUGCCUUGUAGCGGGGGAUAACUAUUGGAAACGAUAGCUAAUACCGCAUAACAAUGGAUGACACAUGUCAUUUAUUUGAAAGGGGCAAUUGCUCCACUACAAGAUGGACCUGCGUUGUAUUAGCUAGUAGGUGAGGUAAUGGCUCACCUAGGCGACGAUACAUAGCCGACCUGAGAGGGUGAUCGGCCACACUGGGACUGAGACACGGCCCAGACUCCUACGGGAGGCAGCAGUAGGGAAUCUUCGGCAAUGGGGGCAACCCUGACCGAGCAACGCCGCGUGAGUGAAGAAGGUUUUCGGAUCGUAAAGCUCUGUUGUAAGUCAAGAACGGGUGUGAGAGUGGAGAGUUCACACUGUGACGGUAGCUUACCAGAAAGGGACGGCUAACUACGUG
rnacentral:rRNA from 1 species